rnacentral:rRNA from 1 species
AUUGAACGCUGGCGGCAGGCUUAACACAUGCAAGUCGAGCGGGGUGAUGUAGCUUGCUACAUUACCUAGCGGCGGACGGGUGAGUAAUGCUUAGGAAUCUGCCUAUUAGUGGGGGACAACAUUCCGGAAGGAAUGCUAAUACCGCAUACGCCCUACGGGGGAAAGCAGGGGAUCUUCGGACCUUGCGCGAAUAGAUGAGCCUAAGUCAGAUUAGCUAGUUGGUGGGGUAAAGGCCUACCAAGGCGACGAUCUGUAGCGGGUCUGAGAGGAUGAUCCGCCACACUGGGACUGAGACACGGCCCAGACUCCUACGGGAGGCAGCAGUGGGGAAUAUUGGUCAAUGGGCGGAAGCCUGAUCCAGCCAUGCCGCGUGUGUGAAGAAGGCCUUUUGGUUGUAAAGCACUUUAAGCGAGGAGGAGGCUACUUGGAUUAAUACUCUAGGAUAGUGGACGUUACUCGCAGAAUAAGCACCGGCUAACUCUGUGCCAGCCGCCGCAGUAA